UCAUCUGCAAGACAAGAAAUUUCUCCGCUGUGAUGCCACCGAGAGGCAAGAGCGCUUCGGGAUUUCCUGCCCCAUCACUGCCUCCUCUUGCCAUGUCAAGUAUCAAUACCAUAACCAUCUGUUUUUCGGGAGCAGCGUGUCAGGGCUGGGAUGCACAAAGGGGGGCUGAGCAGACAGGAGCCCAUGUGAGACUGUUGUCCAAGAUAACAGAGAAGGGGUGAGCAGCUCUCAUUUAUGAACUCUCUUCUAAUUAGCUGGUGUAUAACCGGCUCUUUAGGCAGUGGAUAUCAAAAUCCCUUGUUUUGUGCUGUUAAGGAUCCACGUGAGCUACAUACGAAUCUAGGGUUGAGGUAAAAUGUCAGUUUUCCAGACUGGGAUGCCAGAGACUAGAUAUAAGGUGUGCUUAUAUAUAUUUGGGCCCUGCAGAAUUCUCUCCUUGAUAUGCGUGGAGCCCUAAAGGUGACAGAGAAGCUGCAGUAUCCAGAACAUAGCCCUGGGGACCUGUUGCCCACUGCUACGUCAGAAGAUGGAUCUACAGGGACGCAGCCCAGGGGACACACCUGACGACUACAGAGGAACCAGGUAUCAAGCCCCUCCCUUCAGGCCCAAUUAAUCCUCCAGAACAGGAGCGGAGUGGAGCAGAAUCAGGGCAGAUGGAAGCACUCAAGGCACCAACCAGAGGAUCCCUGGGUCUGGCUGCCGGAGCUGCCACCCAGAGCCUCGGGCAGCGGCCCCUGGGGAGCCUGGCGAGGAGGUGGUGCUUGGCUGGGCCAGGCCAGGGACAAAUCCCAGUCCAGAAAAGCGACAUGAGGAGCGUAGUGACGAGGAUCGGUGAGGCAGUUAGCACGGCAGCCCAGUCUCCCUGCUUCUCCUGAGAGGAGAAAGAGGCACAGGGGGCUGCCAUGCUCUCUGCCAUGCUAACUGCCCUGUGGAUGCUCCUUAUGUCACUUUUCUGGACUGGGAUUUGUCCCUGUAGGGGACAUGGAUGGAGGAGAGCACCACCUCCUCCCCAGGG